UUCCGCUUCAACAAUUCCCCUCAUGCGUACCAAGGACUUGAUCUAUAUGGAAAUUUUGACUUUUUUAAUUCGGAUCUUUUGGACAGCAUUUAAUCAUCUUUUUGGUUGUUUUCAAUUAGAAUUGUGGUUAGACCCAUUGAUUAAAUAAAGCUACUUGUAUUGUUGCAUGAGGAAUAGAUUGUUCUCUUUCGCAUAAAAACUUAUUAGCUCUCUGGAAGUGGCGAUUAUCUGUUAUGAGUUGAGUUUGAUUAAAUCACCCAUAUUUUUCAGAAAAGAGAGCGCAC
rnacentral:lncRNA from 1 species